CGUUUGUCCGUGUUGAAGUGGUCACCACUUCUAGGAAAACUCCACAUCUUGUUUUUUUAGCUUUCUCAAGCGCUGAAGCCAUUGACAACAUGUAGACAAAAGAAUAACAGGAAGGCAGACCAUAAACAGUAGACAGGCGACGUUGGCUUCGGGUUUUUCAGUUAUAAGGAGUUUGCUGGUGAGUGCCGAAGCGUGCAGACGUGUGUCCAGUGCCCUGUGAAGUUCACAAAACUCCACGUGACGCCCAUCUGUCGAAAGCGAAUCCAACAAACCUAGCUAAGUGUUAACAGCCUCUCGACUAGUUCUUCCAUACUGAAUUAACUAGCUCGAUGAUGGCCCUAACAUUCCAAACAGGCUCUCCGGAGCUAAAUUAUAACACCGCC
rnacentral:misc_RNA from 1 species